GGAGUCUGGGCCGUGUCUCAGUCCCAAUGUGGCCGUUCAACCUCUCAGUCCGGCUACUGAUCGUCGACUUGGUGAGCCGUUACCUCACCAACUAUCUAAUCAGACGCGAGCCCAUCUCUGAGUGAUAAAUCUUUGAUACAUACGUCAUGCGGCAUAUGUAUGUUAUAGGGUAUUACCAUCCGUUUCCAGAAGCUAUCCCCCUCUCAGAGGCAGGUUGCUCACGUGUUACUCACCCGUCCGCCACUAAGAACUUCCAGUAAACCAAAAGUUCUCCGUUCGACUUGCAUGUGUUAAGCGUGCCGCCAGCGUUCGUCCUGAGCCACGGAUCAAACUACU
rnacentral:rRNA from 1 species